rnacentral:rRNA from 1 species
UACGGAGGGUGCGAGCGUUGUCCGGAAUCAUUGGGCGUAAAGGGCGCGUAGGUGGCUUCUUAAGCGUGCGGUGAAAGCCUGGGGCUCAACCCCGGGUCGGCCGUGCGAACUGGGGGGCUGGAGCACUGUAGAGGCGGGUGGAAUUCCGGGUGUAGCGGUGGAAUGCGUAGAGAUCCGGAAGAACACCAGUGGCGAAGGCGGCUCACUGGUCCAUUACUGACGCUGAGGUGCGAAAGCGUGGGGAGCAAACAGG